rnacentral:rRNA from 1 species
UACGGAGGGGGCUAGCGUUGUUCGGAAUUACUGGGCGUAAAGCGUACGUAGGCGGCCUUGUAAGUUAGAGGUGAAAGCCCAGAGCUCAACUCUGGAAUUGCCUUUAAGACUGCAUCGCUUGAAUCGUGGAGAGGUUAGUGGAAUUCCGAGUGUAGAGGUGAAAUUCGUAGAUAUUCGGAAGAACACCAGUGGCGAAGGCGACUAACUGGACACGUAUUGACGCUGAGGUACGAAAGCGUGGUGAGCAAACAGG